GCUCUAUGACGGGGAGAUCAAGUACAACAUGAGAUCCAGAGUGCUCAACUUCAGCAUGGGCAAACCCCGCGUCAAAUUCAACAGCAGCCAGAUCCCUGAUGUGAAAUAGAUACAUACAACUAUGCUAGCUGACGGGUUGUAUCUACGCACUUGAUGCACAUUAUACUACAAAACAAUACAUUGUCUGUCAGACAACAUCUUGCCGUCCAUAAACCUUCUAUCUGAAAGAGAUGCUGAGCAAACAGGGUCGUGACUGAGUACCAAGAUAGACUACUAGUUUCUCGUAGCAUCACUUCUACGAGUUGCGCUGACAAAUAACAAUACCACGGGAAAACCUCAGUUUCUCAUUCCAUGAUCUUGUAAAGUUUGAAAUCGUCACUCCAUGGCCUGAAUUGGUCCUCAUUCGUAAUAUUCUGCAGAGGAAUAGAAUAAAUUGUUAGGGACACACAAGUUAGUGGGUAGUCAGCCCUAUCUAAUCUAAUAACCCACUAAGAGAAAAUGCACUAUAUGAGAAGAAAAGGAAGCUGCCACAUGCUGUUAACAAUUAAGCAAUAUGAAGGAAUCAAUUUUGUGUCUUCCAAAGUUCUUCCUUAUCGUUUCCUAAUCCUCCCAAGUCCUUCUCAUUCACAAUGCCGUGCCGUCCUGGCCAUCCUCAUCACGCUAGUUACCCUGUUGUGAACUAGGUUUGUACCAUAACUUUUCAAAAUUAGCAACAGGAAAAACCCAUACUGAUGCACCGUGGCUGCUAGUACUUUGCAACUCCAUGCCAGUAAGAUAGGACAGAUUAAUGCUGCAAAUAAAAUCAUUAAGAAUGAUUUGUACCAUUAGCAAUGAUUUGUACCAUACUGGCGUGAUAUUUAACAGGUCAAUAUUGGGCUGUAUCCAUUAACAAAGAAGUAACCUAAACACAAAAUAAAUAGAUUUGCUCUAACUGGGAACAGGUAAAAGAUACUACUAUUACAAUUCAGUUCUUUAACAACCGGUGGAGCCAUUAUUGUUAGAGGCUUGAUACUAUGCAGGCAUGCAAAAAGGGUUAUUACGAAAAAAUCAAAGAAAUGGUAUGAAUGAGGUUACCUCCAUCCAGAAGAAAAAUCCACGCAACAGAGCUAGCUGAUUGGGUUUGCUGGUGCUUUCUACACGUACUUGUUUCGCAAGAUCUGGAGUUAAAUAUUAAACAACGUGUUAAUUAAUACUACAACAUGUAAUCCAUCACGUUAGAGAACAUAAGCAGUGUUUAUUAAACAGCCAAAUACCACAUUACUUCAAACCAGGUACGUACCAAUAUGAUUUGCUACUACUUUCUCGUCUUAUUGGGAAAGACAACUUCUCAAGCAAAACAGCCAUUUAUUAUACUCUGUAGCAAAUAUAAUGAAUCUGUUGGGAAUUUAUCUUUGCACUCCCACGGACCUUUGGACAUGUGCUGAAAGUUCAUUAAGUUACUCAAUUGUUAAGUCCACACAGCACAUUCGUUAUCAGUAUAUAUUACUCCACAACAAACUACUUCAGGCAUUUGUUUUUUUAGUCGGCCCUGGAGGAUCUCGAUUCAUUAAAAAAGAAGAACCGAGUUGUCCGAUUAACAUAGGGAAAACUGAGCUAAAAACGUCACAACAGCCCACACAGGAAACAUCGGCCUGCCGACCUGACCACCUACACAAAGACACACACGGCACUGAGAAGAAAAACAUUGUUGAGGUUGUCGCGGAGUGCCAUCUGUCAUCACCCCUCCACGAGCCAUUUGUUAUGAAUGCACCACAUUACUCACGUAUAUUAGGCAUAAACAAAUACAGAGGACACUCAGCAUUGGAAUGCUAACAUUACAG
rnacentral:lncRNA from 1 species